AAUCCUCUUUCCACCUCUUGGUGGGAGACUUGUCGGCUGUGCCCUUGGGUACUCUGAUUAAAUGUAGUAGGUUUGGAUCAGGCUGGUGGCCUGGGACACUAUGUGCUAGAGACGUCGCGUAUGCUGACGGUCUUCUCAUGGUGCGUCCUAGGCUAUUAAGCUGGCCUGGUUGAUCCCUCUCAGUCGUUCAAUCGAUCGACAACCCCACA
rnacentral:misc_RNA from 1 species